UUGCCUAUACAUGCAGUCGACGCGUUGGCCCAAUUGAUUGAUGGUGCUUGCACCUGAUUGAUUUUGGUCGCCAACGAGUGGCGGACGGGUGAGUAACACGUAGGUAACCUGCCCAGAAGCGGGGGACAACAUUUGGAAACAGAUGCUAAUACCGCAUAACAGCGUUGUUCGCAUGAACAACGCUUAAAAGAUGGCUUCUCGCUAUCACUUCUGGAUGGACCUGCGGUGCAUUAGCUUGUUGGUGGGGUAACGGCCUACCAAGGCGAUGAUGCAUAGCCGAGUUGAGAGACUGAUCGGCCACAAUGGGACUGAGACACGGCCCAUACUCCUACGGGAGGCAGCAGUAGGGAAUCUUCCACAAUGGGCGCAAGCCUGAUGGAGCAACACCGCGUGAGUGAAGAAGGGUUUCGGCUCGUAAAGCUCUGUUGUUAAAGAAGAACACGUAUGAGAGUAACUGUUCAUACGUUGACGGUAUUUAACCAGAAAGUCACGGCUAACUACGUGCCAGCAGCCGCGGUAAUACGUAGGUGGCAAGCGUUAUCCGGAUUUAUUGGGCGUAAAGAGAGUGCAGGCGGUUUUCUAAGUCUGAUGUGAAAGCCUUCGGCUUAACCGGAGAAGUGCAUCGGAAACUGGAUAACUUGAGUGCAGAAGAGGGUAGUGGAACUCCAUGUGUAGCGGUGGAAUGCGUAGAUAUAUGGAAGAACACCAGUGGCGAAGGCGGCUACCUGGUCUGCAACUGACGCUGAGACUCGAAAGCAUGGGUAGCGAACAGGAUUAGAUACCCUGGUAGUCCAUGCCGUAAACGAUGAGUGCUAGGUGUUGGAGGGUUUCCGCCCUUCAGUGCCGGAGCUAACGCAUUAAGCACUCCGCCUGGGGAGUACGACCGCAAGGUUGAAACUCAAAGGAAUUGACGGGGGCCCGCACAAGCGGUGGAGCAUGUGGUUUAAUUCGAAGCUACGCGAAGAACCUUACCAGGUCUUGACAUCUUGCGCCAACCCUAGAGAUAGGGCGUUUCCUUCGGGAACGCAAUGACAGGUGGUGCAUGGUCGUCGUCAGCUCGUGUCGUGAGAUGUUGGGUUAAGUCCCGCAACGAGCGCAACCCUUGUUACUAGUUGCCAGCAUUAAGUUGGGCACUCUAGUGAGACUGCCGGUGACAAACCGGAGGAAGGUGGGGACGACGUCAGAUCAUCAUGCCCCUUAUGACCUGGGCUACACACGUGCUACAAUGGACGGUACAACGAGUCGCGAACUCGCGAGGGCAAGCAAAUCUCUUAAAACCGUUCUCAGUUCGGACUGCAGGCUGCAACUCGCCUGCACGAAGUCGGAAUCGCUAGUAAUCGCGGAUCAGCAUGCCGCGGUGAAUACGUUCCCGGGCCUUGUACACACCGCCCGUCACACCAUGAGAGUUUGUAACACCCAAAGUCGGUGGGGUAACCUUUUAUGAGCCAGCCGCCCAAAGUUAAACG
rnacentral:rRNA from 2 species